rnacentral:tRNA from 1 species
GGUACUUUGGCCGAGUGGUUAGGCACCGGUCUGCAAAACCGUCUACGGCGGUUCGAAUCCGCCAAGUACCUCAA